rnacentral:rRNA from 1 species
GAUGAACGCUGGCGGCGUGCCUAAUACAUGCAAGUCGAGCGAAUGGAUUAAGAGCUUGCUCUUAUGAAGUUAGCGGCGGACGGGUGAGUAACACGUGGGUAACCUGCCCAUAAGACUGGGAUAACUCCGGGAAACCGGGGCUAAUACCGGAUAACAUUUUGAACCGCAUGGUUCGAAAUUGAAAGGCGGCUUCGGCUGUCACUUAUGGAUGGACCCGCGUCGCAUUAGCUAGUUGGUGAGGUGACGGCUCACCAAGGCAACGAUGCGUAGCCGACCUGAGAGGGUGAUCGGCCACACUGGGACUGAGAAACGGCCCAGACUCCUACGGGAGGCAGCAGUAGGGAAUCUUCCGCAAUGGACGAAAGUCUGACGGAGCAACGCCGCGUGAGUGAUGAAGGCUUUCGGGUCGUAAAACUCUGUUGUUAGGGAAGAACAAGUGCUAGUUGAAUAAGCUGACACCUUGACGGUACCUAACCAGAAAGCCACGGCUAACUACGUGCCAGCCGCCGCAGUAA